AGAAGAGGAAGAAUUAACUUAGUCUUGUGAUGGAGAACAACUGAAUUCCUGUAUGACCAUAGGAACCUAGUUAGGAAUAAAUCAUUUCAAAAGGCGCAUCCGAGUGUGGCUUAAAAAUGGGAUGGGAGCAAAACAUCAAUCUCAGUCUCUAACUGGUCCGGAGAGAGUUGGCGCUCCUUGAGGGUCCAUGGACAGUAGAAACUAGGUGCUGUGGCCACCAGAGGUAGUCCCAGGCUCUGUCUGGAGCCACCUUCACUCUGCAGUGCCUGGUGUGUUGGGGCUGCUUGCAAGUCUGAGAAACCUUUUUUAUGUGAUGGAGAAUCUAUAUAAUUAGGGUCAUUUUGGUGGACAGAGACAUAAACUAAGACCUUCAGGGCUUUUCAUUCCAAGUCUAUCCUUGUCCUCACUUUGAGCAAAUUUGGUCCUAUGUCGUUCAGCUACUUUCCCCGUAAAAUGGCAAUUAAGAUUUGCUCUGCCUACCCCAAAUGACUUUGGUGAGGAUAAAAAUAACUGUUGGGGGGAAAUGUUACCAUGCAAAUGCAAAGUCCCACUAGAACCCAGACCUACCAGUAAACUUGGGUUGGGGGAAGGAGACAGCCUGAAUAUUGGCAGCCUAGAAGGCAGGGGAUUACCAGCCAGUAAGCCCCUGUGUAGGGAAAACUGGUUCCUUGAGGCAGGCAUGCUCAGUCCAGUGCUAGAGCUACAUAAGAACACACUUGGUUUUUAGUGAUACUUAAGUGAGAUCUUCAAGAUGCCCAGGAAAAAGAAAAAAAUCACACCAGCUCCCCACAGGCCUCAUCCUCAAACCUAGCAGCCUGCUCUCCAGCUCCAUGCGGCAUGCUUUCAAGGAUGACAUCAGAUACUUACCAGAGUUGUCACAGUGAGUGUGUGAUCACAGAAGGAUGCUGCCCUUUGCAAAGGCUACAAGUCAUCAGCCUUACAAUCCAUUUCUCCCCAUGAUGGACAAAGUUCUGGAUACAACCCAUCCUCCCAAGUCAGCAGAGGAGCAAACCACUCGUCGCUUUUGUCUGCUGCCAUUGCCUAUGCAAAGAGAAUCCAGGGAAGAUGGUGGUGAGAACAAAGAAAAUAAACCAGUUCAGAUUGAACUUGAAUGACGUAUCCCCCAGCUGAGAAGUGGGGCACCUAACUGGAUGUGCUGAGAGACCCCUCUUCUGCCAACUCUCAGAUCUAGGAAGCAUAAUGUAAGCAGAAAGAACAACAGAUUAAAACCUGUCACUAACCACUGUGUAAUUCUGAGGACCCCAGCAGAUCCCAGAGGACAGGGGAGAAGAUGUACCUCCAUCCUCUCUAUUAUCUGAAGAGAUGGGAGGAAGAUUACUAUCAGACUGAUGCUUAGUUGUGCUGAACUGAUUUCUCCCCUUUUUUUCUUCAGGAGAUCAAUAAGUACUAAAAAUGCUAAA